UACGUAGGGUGCAAGCGUUAAUCGGAAUUACUGGGCGGAAAGCGUGCGCAGGCGGUUAUGUAAGACAGGUGUGAAAUCCCCGGGCUCAACCUGGGAACUGCAUCUGUGACUGCAUAGCUAGAGUACGGUAGAGGGGGAUGGAAUUCCGCGUGUAGCAGUGAAAUGCGUAGAUAUGCGGAGGAACACCGAUGGCGAAGGCAAUCCCCUGGACCUGUACUGACGCUCAUGCACGAAAGCGUGGGGAGCAAACAGG
rnacentral:rRNA from 1 species